GACAGAGGGGGCAAGCGUUGCUCGGAAUCACUGGGCGUAAAGGGUGCGUAGGUGGCGUGGUAAGUCUGGUGUGAAAUCCCGGGGCUCAACCCGGAACUGCACUGGAUACUGCCAUGCUUGAGUACUGGAGAGGAGAUUGGAAUUUACGGUGUAGCAGUGAAAUGCGUAGAUAUCGUAAGGAAGACCAGUGGCGAAGGCGAAUCUCUGGACAGUUACUGACACUGAGGCACGAAGGCCAGGGGAGCAAACGGG
rnacentral:rRNA from 1 species